AGCUACAGGAUGAUAUUAAUAGCGACAAUGCUGCCCUUGCCAAAUUUGAAACCAUUCGCGCCUAUGGCGCCGUGCGUAUGAGCUUGAUUUCGCAUAUUGAUGAAGCAGUUGCACGCCAACACACGCCUAAGAUCGCCUUUGUCGCUAAACCUAAAGCCUAUGUGUCAUCGAGCGGCAAAACCGUCAAUGCCGAUGAAAUCGAUCUACUGGUGCGCGCCUUGUCUAUGGGCAAACUGCACCACGCUAUGAUGGGCACGGCUGCCGUUGCUAUUGGUACGGCGGCGGCAAUUCCCGGCACUUUAGUAAACCUCGCCGCAGGCGGUGGCGAAAAGGAAGCGGUACGCUUUGGGCAUCCUUCAGGCACGCUGCGCGUGGGUGCGCAGGCCAUUCAAGAAAAUGGCGAAUGGACAGUCGUCAAAGCCAUUAUGAGCCGCAGUGCUCGGGUGCUGAUGGAAGGUUUUGUACGAGUACCCGCUACGUAGCUUUAUAUAUCCUUUAUAUCUUAAUAAAACAGUUUAACCAAAGACCUUGCUUCUCCCCCUUCCGGCAAGGUCUUUUCUUUUCCAAUAUCCCAAGUAACAGCACAGCAAUAAUUUGUUCGUCAGCUAAUAUGUUGGCAUACCGUAAACAAUGCUAAGAUUCUUGGGCUAGGUAAAAACAAUAAUGACAACUGUGAUAUAGCCCAAAAAUGAGUAGAUAACGAAGCUAAGAUCAGCACUCAUUUCAAACGGGAUGAUAAAGGUUUUUAUAGGGGUAAAUUUGCGUCCAUUCACCUACAAACUUGUUAUAUGCACUCUUUAUAUUUUGAGUUUAUUGUGGAUCCCACAAAAUGGAUGGGCACAGCCAUUAAGUGCGGCGAAUACUCAACUUAAAUUUGAACAUAUUCGCAGUGAAGAAGGGCUAAACCAAAAUACUAUCACGAGUCUAUUUAUGGACAGUGCUGGCAUGCUCUGGAUUGGUACUCAAGAUGGUUUACACAGCUACAAUGGCCAUAGUUUUAAUCUUUUUAUUCACUCACCGAAUGAUCCUACCAGCAUUUCCGAAAGUUAUGUGUCCGAUAUUAUCCAAGAUCCUGAAGGAUAUAUUUGGGUGGGCACCUUUAGCCAAGGUGUUAAUCGUCUCGACCUCAGCACAGGGAAAUUCGAGCAUUUUGGGUUAGAACAAGGACUGACAGAACCGAGAGUCACUAAGCUUAAUAUUGUUGGCAAUACCCUAUGGAUUGGCACUCAAUCAGGCUUAUUUUCCUUAUCAACAAAGACUCAACGUAUAAAUCAAGUCAACUUAGGUAACAGUGUUGAACCCUAUAUCACUAGCCUUGCCAAUGUUGACAACACCUACUUAUUAGCUGGUACACAAAAUAGCGGGACCUUUGCUGUAAGUGCCAACACCAUCACCCGUUUAAAUGUGCCGCAGAAUGUGACUGCCUAUCAAAUAAAAGCCAAUUCUAAACGCUCAAUUGAUCUCGCCCUUGGUAACCAACUUUGGCGUUAUGAUCUUAUCUCCCAGCAGGGUGAAGUUUUAUGGCAAGUCGAUCCUGAU
rnacentral:rRNA from 1 species